rnacentral:lncRNA from 1 species
UCACAUUUCACCUGAAAAAGUAUGUAUUGAAAGCCAAACAUCAUUUGGUCAUAAAUAUUUUUUAUUUUCCUACUGUGUAGAUCAAAUGCAAUCUCUCCUGCAGCUAUCGUUAUUGUAUGAACACGAUGUAAAACAAUCCCUCUUGUUAUUACGUUCUUUCGGUUGUUCUCUCUUUCGACCUAUAAGUCCAAUAAGCGCGUCUGUUGUGUCUGAACACUGCUGGAGACACAACUGUAGAAAAAAUGAACAUUGUGAGCAUGUCCUGGUGCUACUGGCUAUACUUGAAUUAAGUAUGAUGAAUACAAAUAUCAUAGGCAUGUAAUGCUUCAUUUUUGUAGGUUCUGUA